CCGCGCCGCGCCCCCGGUCGCCGUCACCAUGAGCUACCGCGAGUCGGCCCUCCCAUCAGCGCCGCCGCUCCUCCCUGUCAGCUAGGGUUGAGAUCCGGCUUCUCCGUCAGCACGGUGCUCUGGUGGAUCUCCUCCCUCCCUCAUUUCUCAUCUUGCAGCCAGGUCCGGCUCCAUGCCCUUGAGAACAGCUUGUCUAUGGUGGAUUAGGAUUGCAGAGGAUAAUUUAUUGGUGGCAAGGAGGUCAAGCGUGAGACAUCACAUGUCAAGGGGAUUUACUAUUUAGUCUCUUCUAAUGAUUGUUGGUUUAAAGGAAAUCCAUAUUUUAACAGGGUUUCUUCCAAUUCAACAAAGUCAGGCACUACUCUUGUUCUUUCCUGUUGUGGAGCUGCUCGAGGCUGUAGGAGGCAGCAGGACAUGAUGCCGCACGGA